rnacentral:misc_RNA from 1 species
CCAGGCCCUAUCUCUUUCUCUAUCUCUCUCCACCAUGCACCACCACCACCACCAUCCACACGUUUCUUCACCGCACGCUACACAAAAGAGACUCAAGUUCUGCAUCAACGACCACAUCGACAUUCUCAUCGAAAUACUCAAACGCCUCGAUGGCCGCUCACUCGGUGUCGCCGCCUGCGUUUGUCGCCUCUGGUGCACUAUUGCCCGCAAUGACUCUCUUUGGGAGGACCUCUGCUUCCGCCAUGUCUCUCCUCCACCUUCCGGCGUACGUGCCGUCGUUGUCGCUCUAGGCGGCUACAAGAGGCUCUACAUGGUUUGUGUUCGUCCCGUACUGAGUCGACUCGGUCGGCGGUUGAGACUCGGUGACUCUGACCGGGUUGGGAGAAUAUGGACUGGGGACGAGGUGCAACUCUCACUUUCUUUGUUCUGUGUUGAUUAUUAUGAGAGGCUUGGGAGGCUUGGUGGCGGUGGUGGUGGCAGCGGCGGCGGCGGCAGUGACAGCAACAAAGUCAGAUAGUGGUAGUGGUAGUGGCAAAAUGGUGGUAGAGGUGAUAAUAACUAAAUGGCGAUAAUGGUGGUCAAGUGAUAGUGAUGGUAAUGGUGGUAAUAGG